GCAGGCUAACGCCUUGAUACAUUAGCAUGGAAUAAUGAAAUAGGACGUUCGAUCUUAUUUUAGUUGGUUUCUAGGGAUUGACGUAAUGAUUAAUAGGGAUAUUGGGGGCAUUAGUAUUCAAUUGUCAGAGGUGAAAUUCUUGGAUUUAUUGAAGACUAACUACUGCGAAAGCAUUUGCCGAGGAUGUUUUCAUUAAUCAAGAACGAAAGUUAGGGGAUCGAAGACGAUCAGAUACCGUCGUAGUCUUAACCAUAAACUAUGCCGACUAGGGAUCGGAUGAUGUUAAUUUUUUAAUGACUCAUUCGGCGCCUUACG
rnacentral:rRNA from 1 species